CAAGGCCCUUCGAGCUCGUGUUGUGAAAUGUUGGGUUAAGUCCCGCAACGAGCGCAACCCUUAUCCUUUGUUGCCAGCGGUUCGGCCGGGAACUCAAAGGAGACUGCCAGUGAUAAACUGGAGGAAGGUGGGGAUGACGUCAAGUCAUCAUGGCCCUUACGAGUAGGGCUACACACGUGCUACAAUGGCGUAUACAAAGAGAAGCGACCUCGCGAGAGCAAGCGGACCUCAUAAAGUACGUCGUAGUCCGGAUUGGAGUCUGCAACUCGACUCCAUGAAGUCGGAAUCGCUAGUAAUCGUAGAUCAGAAUGCUACGGUGAAUACGUUCCCGGGCCUUGUACACACCGCCCGUCACACCCAUGGGAGUGGGUUGCAAAAGAAGUAGGUAGCUUAACCUUCGGGAGGGCGCUCAC
rnacentral:rRNA from 1 species